rnacentral:rRNA from 1 species
AAAGGUAAGCUACUAAGAGCGAAUGGUGGAUGCCUUGACUGGUAAAGGCGAUGAAGGACGUACUAGACUGCGAUAAGCUACGGGGAGCUGUCAAGAAGCUUUGAUCCGUAGAUUUCCGAAUGGGGCAACCCAAUGUAUAGAGAUAUACAUUACCUAUAUAGGAGCGAACGAGGGGAAUUGAAACAUCUUAGUACCCUCAGGAAAAGAAAUCAAUAGAGAUUGCGUCAGUAGCGGCGAGCGAAAGCGCAAGAGGGCAAACCCAGUGCUUGCACUGGGGGUUGUAGGACUGCAAUGUGCAAGAGGUAAGUUUAGCAGAACAUUCUGGAAAGUAUAACCAUAGAGGGUGAUAGUCCCGUAUGCGAAAAACAAACCUUAGCUAGCAGUAUCCUGAGUAGGGCGGGACACGAGGAAUCCUGUCUGAAUCUGGGUCGACCACGAUCCAA